rnacentral:lncRNA from 1 species
UGGAGGUUCACGUUAGAAGGUUGUGUGUUCUGAACAAAGGAAUGAAUGUCUGUUGAAGAUUUUAUAUGGUGUGAAUCCAAGCCACAAAGCUGAGCUGGGAUCCAAUUAGCUUCAAUAGCAACAAAUCUGAUUUGAAGUCAAAGAUGAACCUGUGGUUUUCAUCAAAGGUAACUUACUUUAACCAGGAACACAGAAAACAUGGAGGGUGAGCUCAGCUUGCACCUAAUGAGUUUAUACUCAGAGAAUAUUACAAUCUAAAUUUAUAUACACGUCAUUUGCUUUUACGCAAUCCUCUAAGACAGUGGUCCUCAACAUUGACUGCACACUAGAAUCAUGCUAGGGCAGUGCUGCUCAAAUUUUACUGUGCGUAGGCACCAUCUGGGGAUCUUGUUCCAAUUCAGCAGGUCUGGAAUGGAACCUGAGUCUACAUUUCUAACAAGUUUCCAAAUGAUCCCCAUGUAGUGGUCCUCAGACCACAACCUACAUAGUAUAUCAAGAACCUAGAGAACUUUUAAAUAUAGUUUUCUGGAUCCUACUCCUGAAAGAUUUUUAAUUAUCUGGAGAUACAACCUGGGCAUUUAUAUUUGUAAUCGCUUCCCUGGUGUCUCUAAUGCCCACCUAAUGUGCCAUGCUAAGUCAUUAUUUAUAUUUUACGAGUGGGGGACGGGGUCCCAGUUCUAGCUAAGAUGGAGAAAGCACACUCCACCCUAUCUUGUCCAUUGAUUAUUACUAAAAAUCCUGGAAAGAAUACAUAAAGCAAAUAUACAAGGACUCUGAAAAGUAAUUUGAAGCAAGCAGACUGGCGAGAGAAAUCAAAACUCAAAACAGUAGUGAGUUUCCUGGUUUUUUUCUCCCACAUAUGUCAGCUUAGACUUGAGGACAGCCCAAAUCUCAUUAACUGUGCAGUGAGUGAAGACAGAGAAAAGUUCCAAGAGAAACUCCUUCUGGCUAGAGAACUAGAAAAGAUGAUGAAUGGGAGAGGGACAAUGGGGAGGGGUGGAUAUCUGGUAAUUUUUCUUCUCUCUCAGCUCUGCCUCAAAGCAAGCCCCAAUCCUGAGUCUGCACACCUGUGGCUGGUAGCUGUCUCCUAAACUCUAAAAGAGAGUUCUUCUGACAAAAGAACUAGGAAAAAGACGAUGAUCGGAAGAGUAUGGAAGAGGGAAUUCAUUUUAUUUUUUUCUCUAACUUUUCUCUCUCUCCAUUUUGUUCAGGAAAUGAGCCCCUCUACAGAAAACGUAUGAAAAGCACAAAGAAGCUAAAAUUCCAGUUUUCUCACCAAAGAACCACGAAAAGAAACUCUUGGGAGCUUGUGUACAAGGGAAGUCACGGAGAGAAGAAACGUCCUCUAAAUUUGUGUAUACAAUCUCAAGUUUACCACCAACAUGCCCAUGUGUGAACUGACCCAAGGCGGCAGAGGAAAGGCGCUGAGAACUGCACAAUGGCAUGGAUGGCACACCUGGGACCUGAACAGCAAUACGAAGGUUUUGAAAAAAUUCAAAUACUGAAGACUUGUGUGUGCCACAGACCUAAAUCUCAAGGUGACUAGUCUUCAGAAGACCAGGCUCUACUUCUACUUCUCCAGGCAUCAAAGGGAAAAAAGGAGUUUCUAGGCAACCCAUUCAGAACAAAGAAUACGUACACAAUGAAAUAGAU